UGGGGAAUAUUGGGCAAUGGGCGAAAGCCUGACCCAGCGACGCCGCGUGGGGGAAGAAGGCCUUCGGGUUGUAAACCCCUUUUGCAGGGGACGACACAGGACGGUACCCUGCGAAUAAGCCACGGCUAACUCUGUGCCAGCAGCCGCGGUAAGACAGAGGUGGCAAGCGUUGCUCGGAUUCACUGGGCUUAAAGGGCGCGUAGGCGGCUUUGUAAGUCCGAGGUGGAAUUCCACAGCUUAACUGUGGAACUGCCUUGGAAACUGCAAGGCUUGAGUCAGGUAGAGGGAGGCGGAAUUCCCGGUGUAGCGGUGAAAUGCGUAGAUAUCGGGAGGAAGGCCGGUGGCGAAGGCGGCCUCCUGGGCCUGCACUGACGCUGAGGCGCGAAAGCGUGGGGAGCAAACAGG
rnacentral:rRNA from 1 species